GUUUUCUUGUAGUGAAGAUCUCCAUCACCCACGGAUUGCAGAAAAUUAGAGAGGUCCAAGAGACCUUCAGUAAUGUUCAAAUCAGUGGGAGUAAUUUGUGUUGUACUCUUUUUUCUUCACCAUGGUUUUGUCCCAAUUGGGUUUUUCUGGUAAUGUUUUAAUGAGGUCAGGCAACAUUAAAGCACAUUACAAGCUCUAAAUGGUUAUGGCAUCCAAGGGGAGUGUUAUGAACCAGAUUGUUGAUGGCUCAUAACCAAGAGAUUAUGAUUUGUAAUCUUUCCAUUUAUCUAUGAUGGGUAAUCUCCUUUAUUAAGUAUCCAUUACUUUUACAACAUCAAUGAUUUUCUUCGUUUUGUCUUUCUGAUCCAAUGAAAAGAUUUUCUCCGCCGUUCAUUGGUCAAGGGUCGUUUGGUCGCUAGAGUUGUUAGACGAUAUUGAGCUUGUCGUCAAGGCGUCAACGAUCCCUUCAUCACCACUGAGCACAUGUGUUCACAGUCGAAGGAAAUACCAUGAACUCAAGGUUAAGGAUGAGAGACCCUUCGGCAUUAGGUACAAUACAACUACCGGAUGGUUAUCUUUUCUCAGUGUAUGAUCGGCUCAAGCUCUAAUGAUGAAUAAGCAAGAACGUUUCCAGACAUUGUCAGUCCUCUCAGAGCAGCAUGGCAAAGGAGGCUAAUAAUGGCGAUCUGCUUCAGUUUAGAGUCAACCCUUGUCCUUGUUGGUCUCACAACAUCCCUCUUGAUUCUUCCGCCAUUGCCUCAUCCUUCUUUUAUGCUGCUUCUCAUUCGUAUUGGGAUUAUGGUUUGCUGACGGUUCUUGAUUUAUACCGUCUUCUUCUUCUAAUGCAAAACAUGUAACAAGAACUUAUAUGUAACGAACCAAAAAGGCAGUUUUGUGUCUAUUGUUGUUAGUUUGUUUACACAA